CACAUUUGGAUCUUCCAUGCGCCGAUGUUAUUAAGCUUGGGAUGAGCAAUCUAGGUACGCCCAUAGAUGCUAGUGGGAAAAUGGAAAAAUUUUCUGCACAAGACCGUGUGUCUCCAGGUCCAUUUGAUUCCACUAUCUUGAGAUCCACCAAUUCUCUUUCAGGGAUGCAUGGCACAUUUCUGGAUCUUUGUCCCUCUUCUUCUAGGACGACCAUGCUACCUGGGAAAAAUCCUAAUGGCUACAAUCCUACUUCAACCUUUCAAAUCAUCAAUGAAGAGUUGACAUAUAAGUAUGGGGCCAAUGCAGUCCAUGUUACUCCUGAUUCUCCUAGUAGGCUUGUUGUGGAUGAUUCUGGUUAUGCUAGCUCAGAGUCUUCAUUGUAUGACGUUGACUCUGAUGAUGAAGAUGGUGCUCUUGGUUUUCAAGAUGAAAACAACAUUGAAGGACAUAACUUGGCUGGGUCUUCUGAAUGUCCAGUCAAUAAAAUUUGUAAUGCUAGGGAACAAGUGCCUAGCACCAUCAAUCAAGGUGAUGCUAAUCCAGUGGAGGAUUGUCCUUGUAUUAAUGGAAAUCCAUUUAUGCAUGUUAUGACUCAAGUUACAGAAGACACGGUGCAAACAGUAGCAUGGAAGAAAAGGUGGUAGAGAGGAAGGCUAAUAUUCUCUGAAUUACACCAUCAGUUAUCAACCGUGUACCAGUAAGACUUUCUAGGUCUAUUUGCAGUGCUUUAAGCUGCGCAUCACUUAGUCCAUCUGUACGCUCAGAUGGUACAUUAAGAUUUUUUAGGUUUGUAUGCAGUGCUUGACGCCGUUCACUUAGUCCAUCCGUACGCUCAGAUGGUACAUUUUCCUGCAAGAAAAAGAAAACCAUAGCACAUUUAAAGCUAUAAGGCGCACUACAUGGCCUUGCUGGGAAACAAAACUAAAUCUGCAGCUUGAUCUUACGGAUCAAGAAUCUACUUUCCAAAAAAGUAUUCUCUAGUUCAGUGGUAUUCAAGAUAGCUGGGUCACGGACAGCUUCAUGGUUUCGUAUCAUCUGGUGAUAUUUCGUCCUCAUAUUGUGAACUUCACCCAACUCUUUUACCCUGUCUCUCAAUUCAUGUGUUAAUUCCUCAUUUUUCAUACACCAUUCAUAGAUCACUUCUGUAAUGGUCAGCACAUAUACACCACAAUUAUAUGGGUCCUGCCGCUGUGGCAUAGGGGGCUGAUAUAUAACCACUUUGGCAAAAGCAGGGAUCACUUUUCUUAUACUUUCA